UGACCCUGGAGGCUCUGUAGCCACGACGAAUCACCGGGCCUUUGGGGACUGGGCUCCCCAGGUGGCUUCCUGCCAGGCCCUCACCCUGCCUUCGGAAGCACACCCCUGCCUUCUCCAAGCAGGACUGACUGGGAGCUUGAGUUUGAAAAGCUAAUAGGAAAUUUCCCUCAAGUGUUGGUUGUCCUCCAGAUCCACACAGUGGAGAGCCUCUUGCCUGGUGGCCAGUGACAGAGCCAGCAGCCAGUGGAGGGCUCUCCCGUGUCCUGGAGGCAGAAGUUCCCCGGGCCCAGGGACAACACAGGGACCCUGGCAUGUCCUGGGUGCCUCUUUGAUGCACUCUCCCACUUUGGGAUCUAAAAGGCCCCUGGCCAAACUGACUUCUUCAGGAUCUCACCAGCAACCCUGGCGGUUAGGGCCUCCAGGCGUAUCAUCUAGCCAGGAUGUGGGACUGCGCUCGUGGCCCUGGCCUGUCCAGCUGGUCCCAGGAAGGUCAUUCCCAUGUUUCUGUGUGAGCCAGCCUGUAACGUCUUGAGAGACAAAAUGGAGGGUCUGCUUUCCAGGCCUGAGUCUGGCAUCUUCUAGACACUUCCGGACCUUCCAGACACUUGGUUUCCCCUUCCUUAAGGGCAGCAACACCACUUCUCCCCCAUACACAUCCGGGUUGUUGUGAGGACUCCAGGAGUAACCGUUAGGAAGGCUCAACGUGGUGCUAGGCACAGGGUGGUACUCGUGCCACAGGCCUACUUCCUAGACUGUGAAUGUGGGAAGUGUCACUCACAUGUCCCCUCAGCCAGGACCUGUGGCUCCUGCUCUUUAAACAACCCAUCCAGCGUUUGGCGCGCACCACCUGGUUGAUUUCGUCAGCCUUUCCUCGAUCUUGAAGAACGACCUCAGCCAGGCCGAGGCACCAGCCAGGCUGCUCCGGGUGCUGUCAGUGACUCAGGACUGGUUUGGGGCAGACAGAAGGAGCACCGGCUGGGAUUUCAGCAGGACCAGCCACCUCACGGAGCAUACGCCUUUGAGACGAUGUGUCCAGAGCCGGACUCCCACCUGCUCCACAGACCUCUCCGGGGACCCGCUCUGGGUACCCACGAGCUUAGCUCGCCGCUUUGUCUCUCUCCGUGCCCCGGUCCUCCCUGGCCCUCCUGCCUGGAGCCGUCCUGCACCGUCUACUGGCUCAGCAGACAUUUGUCUCUGUGUCGGACCGGGCUGGCGCUGGGGAGGCGGCCCGUUAGAAGGCCCGCGGGGGCCUUCCUGUCACCCGCAUGACUCCAUCAGCUUCCCUCUGGCUUUUGUCACUCGACUGUGAGGACCAGUUGCUUCUUGCCUGCGUUUGAUCUGCCCUCCAACGGGGCUCCCUGGGGCCUGGCCACUCCUCGGCUCCAGCUCUUGCCUCUGCGGCUCUUCCUGGAAGCGAAUCCCGCUCUCUGCUGGUCACUGGACGGGCUCCACCAGGAGGACCCUGGUCCAGCUUUCCGGACCCCCUUUCCGAAGUCACACUUUGCCUCCAUCCCUCAAGGGGGCAAGGUCCCAGGCUCUUUGAAGACCUGAAUUCAAACCAGUUUACUCAGGGGACAUUCAAUUUGCAAUUGUGACAAUGAUUUUAAAGUCCACCUACAAAUGAAUAAAUAAAUAAAACAGAG
rnacentral:lncRNA from 1 species